rnacentral:rRNA from 1 species
CACGUAGGGGGCGAGCGUUGUCCGGAUUUAUUGGGCGUAAAGAGCUCGUAGGCGGCUCGGUAAGUGAGGUGUGAAAACUCCAGGCUCAACCUGGAGACGCCACCUCAUACUGCCGUGGCUAGAGUCCGGUAGGGGAGCAUGGAAUUCCUGGUGUAGCGGUGAAAUGCGCAGAUAUCAGGAAGAACACCCGUGGCGAAGGCGGUUCUCUGGGACGGUACUGACGCUGAGACGCGAAAGCGUGGGGAGCGAACAGG